rnacentral:lncRNA from 1 species
UGAAACUUUGUGCAUGCCUCUGAAACCCAGUUAGGGGUUCCUUUGUGACUCUCACUAACAUAGAAAAAUCUAUUUAAAUUUUCUCAUUUUCCCUUUCCUAAUCCGGUUAGCCUUGGCUCCUACCCCCUUCUUCCCCAGUUAUAAAACCAAACGGCAUGUUUGUACUAAAGGGACAAGUCUGUGCCGUGACUCAGAGGAAACAUUUGUUUAUAAACCAUGUUUUCCUAAACCUCAGCACAAACAUGGCUGUGGCCCCAUUCCAGAUUGGACAGGGCAGAACUCAAUAGCGUGGCCCUGGAGAAGUUGAGUGUUGGAGGAGUCUAGACAGAAACGAGACCUGGGCUGCAAAUGGCCUUGAGGCAACACCACACCUUGGAGAUCUUUCAUCUCCAAGAGUCAAAACAAAAAUGGCUGAAAUGAAGUCAAAGAAAUGUUUAAGCUUUGCUGUUCGGGAAUGGAAUAUUCUCUUUGAAUUUUUAGUGUAGUUUGGCCUGGCAGCAGCUUCCUUGCUGGUGAAUCUCUUCUUAAUUGUGUCCACAGGCUGUCUUCUUUAUGUAGCAUCUUCUCCCUAGGGCCUAGGCUGCCCAUAUCUGCCUGGAAUACAAAGGAUUGCAAGGACAGCUUGGUUUUAGCUCUGAAGUCAGUCAGAUCUAGUUUUGAAUCCUUCACUACUUUGUACUUUCACUUGACAAAUGUGUACUAAGGAUUUAUUUUUUGCCAUGCAUGGUUCUAAAUGCUAAGAAUGAGGGAGCCAGCAAGAUAGACAAAGGCCCUGUUCCCCUGGCCUUCCAUUCUAAUUGGAGGAAAUAGGGAAAAAAAAAAACAGAGAGUUUAUCUUACAAUGAUGGCAAUAAUGUCAUGAAAAUAAAUUAGUGAGCUAGAUUGGGUGAUGAGGAAAGGCCUCUGCAAGAUGGUGACAAGGAAGCUUCUAUGAAGAAGUGACGUUUAAGCUGAGACCUGAAUGACAAGGAAGAGCCAAAAGGAUAGAGGACCCCUGGCAUAGGCAUGCACAAAGUCCUGAAAGACGAAUGCCUUACAGAAAGAAAGCCCGUGUGGCUGGAGCACCAUGAGUGAGAGAAGAGUAGGACAGGAUGAAGUGGGAGAAUGUGGCAGAUCAAAGAUGGCUACCUAUUCUUUGAGAUACUUCCCAUAGAGAGAAGUAGGUCUAUUUCCCCUCCCCUUAAAUCUGUGCUGGUCUGUGAGUAUUUUGACCCCCAGAGUGUGGCAGGAGUGAUGCUGUACAAGUUCUAAGUCUAGACUUUAAGAUGAUUGGCACUUCUAUUUUGGUCCCCUGUGGCCCUAAACUGACAAGUCAGAAGGCUGACCACUUGUUGGAGAGACCACACGGAGAGGCCCUGAGAAUACUUGAAGAGAACGGGGCCCAGCUGAGCCCAACCCUCCAGAUUUAGCCCAACCAGAGAUUUGGUUAUCUCUGCCAAGAUGCCAAACAAGUGAAUGAAACCAUCUUGGAUCAACUUAGCUGCCAGCUGAAUACUGUUGAAUGACUCCAGUAAAUGCCUCAUGAAACAGAAGAACCAUCUAGCUGAGCCUUGCCCAAAGUCCUGACAUACAAAAUCAUGAAAUAUAAUUCAGUGGUGGUUGUUUUAAGCCACUAAAUUUUGGGGUAGUUUGUGUCUCAGCAAAUGAUAUCCAGAACAAAGAGAUAGGCUGGAGCCAGACUAUUUGACCCUGAGCCAGGAUACAGAGUUUGGCUUGAGAGGGUUGAAGUACCAUGGAGGGCUUAAGCAAGAGGUGCAGGGCUUACAGGACCUACAUUUUAAAACUUACUUUGACGGCUAUUUGUUUCUGGUUGCCUAGUUCUUUGCCUUGUACAAGUUAACUGAACUGUGCCUUGGUUUCUUUAACUAUAAAAUUAGAAUAAUAAUAGUAUCUACAUCAUAGGUUUGUUGGAGGAUUAAAUAACAUAAAAUCAUUAACAUAGUACCUAGCACCUGGCUAAGGGCUCAGUGAAUGGUAGCUGCAAUUGUUACUAUUUUUCUGGCUGACCUUCCACCUGAAGAAUUUAGAUGACUCCAGCUACAUUCAAAUUCCUCUCAACUAGUUCAGAAAGCCCUUAGGACAAUUGUGUAUGUAUUCACAUGUAAAGCCCUUUGCCAUUCCAGUUGAUACUGCUCAUAUUCAUAAGAACUGGCCAGAAAAGCUGCCAUUUUGUAUCCCCCGUGGUCGCCUCCUGCUGUGAUGUUGGUCUCAUGGAUCCUCCUGACUGGAUAGUGGCCCAGACCUCUGCAGUCCUCUGCUGUGGUUGCUUUGUCCUCUCCAGCAUGGGAUGUGCCUGGCUGCUGCUUCUCAGGCUGUUCGUCAGUGGACUCUAGCCAUCAUUAUGCACAAGUUGGACAAACAGCCUCUCUCCCUCCCCCUUAGACUAGAAACUGCCCAAUAGUGAUUCCCUGACCUCCUAGAUUCCUGCAGAACUUUCAGUGAUGAAAGUAUAUUAUAUUAUAUUAUGUUAUGUUAUUCUAUAUUAUCUAUUUUAGUAAUACCUAUUAUGAGGUGACUUAGUCCAUGCACAAACUGACUGUGAGCGAACUGCUCACUGACCCUCCAGAUAAGCUCUCUACUUGGCAUCUACUGCCCUCCCUCUCACUCAGCCUCUGCUUCCCUAGUUUGUUCAUUCUAUCAGUUUUUCUCAAACCUGUGUUGGAAAACUUCAGUUCAUCUCUUCAGACAGGCCCCAUGAAAAGAAAAGUGUUCUUGGUUAAAUAGCUGCUCCUUUCCCUCUCUCCAUUUCAGAGACUCAUGGUACAUAUCUGCAAAUUCAGACCCUGGGACACACUCCAGCAAGAAACACUGUUUCAUUUGGCUUAAUCCAGUAUUUCAUAAGCCUAUUUAAUCAUGGAACUGUUUUGAGUCUCUCCUACAAAGAAUCUCCUAUGAAGAAAUGUUUGAGAGAUGCUGCAUUUAGUUCCCUCCCCACUUCCAGGGACUGUAAGCUUUCUUUUAUUUAGCUUUUACCCUGCCUUUUUCAAUUAUAACAAAUGCCAAAGUAGUACCAGAGUUUUUGUUCUUCUGGGUGUUAGUUCUAUUGCAUAGUAAAAGUAGACUGCCUGGGAUUGGGUCCUGAAUCCAUUACUGUACUUACUAGCCACAUAACUUUGGGCAAAUUAACUUAUCUGUGCCUCAGUUUCCAUAGAUGUAAAAUGAAGAUAAUAAUAGUACUUUCCUCAAUAGGGCUGCUGUGAUAAUUUGAGGAUCUCAUGCAUAAAAAGCAAAGGCAGAGAUGAUGACAUCUGGGGGAAGCUUCUCAUUCACCUGUGUCCAGAGCAGCAGAAUGGAAAAGACUCCUGGAUUUGGAGUUGGCUUGUCCCUAUGCUGUCCAAAGUCGAUGGUGUUGGCCUCUCUUUCCUCAUCUGUAAAAUGGAGUUAAUCAUAUUAUCCCCCUCUGAUGGUUGUAAGAAUUAAGUAUAAUAAUGUGAGUGAAAGCCCUUUGCGAACUGUAAAGAAUGAUGUUGAUGUUAUGAGAUCUGAGUUAGGAGGUUUCCCAUCAUGAGACUGCAACCCAAAGCAAAAAUGUGUAUUUGUGUUAUGAGAACUAGACCCUAGGCAAAAAUGUGAAGCGAGAAGUUUAAUUUUGCCCUCUUCCUGUCGCCCUCAGCUUUUUUAGGCAUUCCUUCUUCCUUCCUAACGUCAUCUUUCUCACGGGUUCCCAGAACUCAUGCUCAGCCACUCCUGCACCCAGACCUGGAGCAGUGUGUCCCUCUGCCCUGCACAUCCAUCCUGUGUCCCUUUCCCUUUAGUUUUGGCACUGUCCUCUCCUUCCUAAAACAAUACCAAGGUCGAGCAGAGUGGGAGACAAAAGGAUUAUUUGGUUUCAUGUUCACUCAGAGCCUCAAGUCUUGAGUUUUGAUAUGGUCUCUGAAUAUGAUAAUUCGAUAUGGUCACAGAGAUCCACUGACAAGACUGAGGAAGAAAAGUUCCACUUGGAAAGCUUUAACAUUUCUACAACUUGCCCAAAGGUGUUUUGACAUUUUUACAUAUACCAGGAACCCUCUGGAAAAAGCACAGGCUUCUCUCAACCUUUGACAAGAUCUGGGGGACACAGUUAAUAUGAGAUCAUUGUUAAUAGAUGCUCAUGAAGUAGUGUCUAUGAUUUUAAUUCCAUGUUUCAUAUCCACUGUGAAAAUUUAAAUGGAUUGGUUAGGAGAAGAAACUUAGUGAGUUCCUUAAGGAAAUUGUUUUUUUUCUUUUAUAAUUAUUUUUAAAUUAAAUAUGGAUAACCAUGCAUGGAUUGGAGCUGGAACAAAAAUCCAGCUCUAGAGUCCUUUUUCCCUCCUUGUCUCUCUCUUGUGGCCUUCUCUCUGAUUGUCUCAGCUUCUCUCCACAUUCUUCUCCAUUCCCUUCUCCAUUGUUUCCAGGUCAAAUCUGGAAUUUAGCUUGGCUGGCUUAGGUCACCAUUACUACCUUCGUUGGAUGCGGCUGUUUGAAUUAAUCCACCUAGUGAGUUUCUGGUCCGCCACACCCAUGCUUGAUUCAACCGGCAGCCAUUGCUUAGCAGAGUACAGGCUGGCUCUUCCUCCUUGGGCAGGGAUGAGAGUCUGCAGGUUUCCAAUUGAAGAGAAACAUGACUUACAGAUCCAAGACACUUAAGUGUCAUGGCCAUGGGAGCGAGAAAGAGGGAAAUUACUUUGAGUGGAUCAGUGUCUUAGCUUGAGAGGCCCCCCUGACAGUUACACACCUGCUCAUCCUCUCACUUCUGCUAUGAACAAGAUUGUUUCUGUAGAUAAGACACAAAUGUCUCUCUCCCUCUCUUAAAUACAUUUUCAUUGCUCAAAGACUCCAUAAAGGGGUAGGCAAGGAGUUUGGUCUUGGGGGUGACUCCUUCAAAAGAGCAAAGCAUCUCAAAGGAUCUCACUUAAGAUUGUUAGAAUUUGAGGCCAGGAUUGAAUUUCAUUUCCCAUCUCAAAUUCCAGAUCACGUUCUGCCACUUAACAGCUAUGAGACCUUGAGAAAGUUUUCAUCUAUAUAACGGGUAUAAUGCUAGUAUCUGCUUCCACGCUUUUGUGAAGAUUAAAUGAAAUAACAUAUGUAAAGUGCUUAACUCAGUUCCUGGCACAUAGCAAGUGUUCAAUAUGUCUUAGCUAUUAUUUUUUUUUUUUUGAGGAAGAUUAGCCCUGAGCUAACAUCUGCUGCCAAUCUUCCUCUUUUUGCUGAGGAAGACUGGCCCUGAGCUAACAUCCAUGCCCAUCUUCCUCCACUUUAUGUGUGGGACGGCUACCACAGCAUGGCUUGCCAAGUGGUGCCAUGUCUGCACCCAGGAUCCAAACAGGUGAACCCCAGGCCGCCGAAGCGGAACGUGCACACUUAACUGCUGUGCCACUGGGCCGGCCCCUGUUUUAGCUCUUUUUUAUUGCUACCACUAGAUUACUUCAUUUACUAACUCUCCAAACACGCCAUUGAAUCAACAUUUAUUGAGAGCUUACUGUGUGUGAGAUACUCCACUAAAGUACGUAAGCCAUCCCAAAAUUAUGUAUAAUUUUCAAAAUUAAAAUGAUUUAAAAGUUUUAACAACUGUCUAACUUACACUGCUAAUUCUUUUAGCAAAGUCUUGCCCCACAAAGACAGAAUCUUGUAAUAUCAGUGAGUUUUGGUAUUGCUCUAAGCUAUAGACUAAAGAAAUUUUUUUAAAGCUCCUGAUCAUGAAUAUAUGUAAUUGAGAUGGAAUUUUACUUAAAAAUAAAUUUCUAAAUAAUUAUAAAAGUUCAUGGUAUCUAAAUAGACUGGGAAAUUAUUUCAAAAGAG